CUCAAGCAAUCCUCCCGCCUCAGCCUCCCAAAGUGCUGGAUUGCAGGUGUGAGCCGCCGUGCCUGGCCUGCCUUGGGCUUUUUAUGUUAAGGCGUCUGUGCUCAUUGUUGUCCACACAUGCAAAUAUGACUGUGAGGAACCUCGUGAGCCAGGCAGGCAUCAGCCAGGGAAACAGUUCCUGUAGGCUCGUGGGGCCUCCCCCUCCGCAGUGUGGCUCCGGGCUGUUCUGAGGCCUGGCGGGGAUGGUAGGUGAUGGGUGGCCCUCCAGAGGGGACUCGGUGCUUCCCAGCCCCUCUGUCCACCUCCCAGACCAGCUGAUUCAGGGUCGGACAGACACAGCCGGCCCGGGUCAUGCCGAGGAAAGGACAGGAACCACCCUGCCCAUCCCACUGCCUCCCAGUGAGGCGUGAGGCUGAGCCCUGGGAGCACCGUUGGGACCUGGAAUUUACCUGGCAGUAACCCAGAAUCUCGCAGGAGUCCCUGGCAUCGGGUCCGACCCUUUGCUCCAGGUCUGAAGACACUACUGCCCGUUGCCGCUUCAAGCCCACUGAGGGCCGCCCCCAACCCUGUGUGUGGCUGUGCAGGGGCUGGUUCUUUGCAGUGUCCGUGGCUGUGGCCAGCGUCAGGGUCGAGCCGUGACCAGGCUCCCCGUGGCGGCCAGCAGCCCUCGGUGAUCCUUGGCCUGAGAAAGCACCGCCCUGACCUCGGCCUUCAUCUUCGCACGGCCUCUCCCUGCGUGCCUGUCUCCAGAUCCCCUUUCCAUAAGGGCGCCUCGUGCUGGGGUGAGGCCCGGCCUCCUGACCGCCCCUUAACCUGAUUUUCUCUGUAAAGACUCUGUCUCCAAACAAGUCACAUUCUGAGGUGCUGGGGGCUGGGAUGUCAACACCUUCCUGAGCUGCACACAUUGACCUAGGACAAAUGGCAUUUUCAAAUUAAAAAAAACUUUAAUUUUGAGUAAAUUUUACAAAAAACUUUUAAAUAUACUAUGGAGAGUUCCCGUAGCUCCCUCACCUCCCGCAGGACAGCACUGCACCGAAGCAGGGUCCGCUGAUGGGCCUGGGGUCAGC
rnacentral:lncRNA from 1 species